AAAGAAAAAAGAGUGUGCAGACUCAACUUAAAUGGGUAUGAAGUUAUGUUCUAGUCAGUCAGGCUUAUAUACCAGACCCUAUUUAGUCACCUGCAACACCAAAGUCAAGCCUUUUUGUUUUAAGAAGGAUAAGAAUCAUUUACACUAAUAAUAAGAAGUCUUUAAUAUUAACUUGAUUCUAUGUAAGAAUUUUCUGGCUCUGAAGUUAAAAAAAAAUGAAGAGAAGUCACUAGUGUGUCAUCUGUUUCUAAUAUAAAGGGUCACUUUUUCCACUAAGUGAGUUAGAGGAGAAAAAUAAAAUUUCAAACUGAGCAAAAGAAAACAAGUGAAGAAAAACUCCAUAGCUUAAUUAAAUGGCAAGGUUAGAAAGUAUGAGUUUAUAUCCUGGUAAGCAAUAUCAACCAAGCUAGUUUAGUCGCGAAGUAGAAAGUAUUAAUUCCCAUUAGUCCUCCUUUAAUCCAGCAUCACAGGUUAUGAAAAUGUUCCAGAUAAAUGAAUUUCUAGGCAAAUAAAGCAAAGAAAUGUGUCUAAGGCAGCGGUCGCCAACCGGUGGUCCGCAGACCACCGGUGGUCCGUGAGGUCCGAAAGGUUGGCGACCACUGGUCUAAGGUACCAACGACUAUGAGUAGGGACAUUUCUAUCUCUCAACUUAAACUUAUAAGCAUCAAUUAAAAGUAAUUUUUAAAAAUGUGUUUCUGAUAGACAUUAUAGAAAAAUGUCUAUAGAAAAGUGAAACAAACUACUUCCUGCUCUGAAAAACAGUUCACAGUAUAUAAUUUUCAGAUGCACUAACUAGCCCUCAAAAACACAGGUGAGGUUAAUGGGAAAUGCAGUAUGGUGUGCCCCUACUUAAAUGCCCCCGGAGGCAGGAAUUCUAGACUGGUUCCACUUCUAGAUAUUGCAUCUUACAUGCAAGCUGGGCUCCCAGUCAAAGAGCAAAGACUGUUCUGCUGCUGGCUGUGCCUUUGUCUCGGCCUCCGCUGCCAUCUCUGAAGAUUGUGGAAGAAAGAAAGACAAGGGCUGAGUAUAAAAUAAAUAUACCAUGGGUCUGCCAUACUGGAAAGGUUUCUCCUCUUCCCUAAACAUAGACCAUGAGGCUGGAAAGUUUCUAACCCUUUCUGCCUAUAUCCUAGAAAUUCCUCAAUAAAGGAUACACCUUGAUAUGGUGCUUCUGAAUAAUGCAAUUACCUUGGAGUUUAUCAUUAUGCAUCCCAAAAGGUAAAGAACUAAGAAGGGUAAAAAUGUAUAAAAACAUUAGUCAGAAGAGGUGGGGGUAAGGGGCUUAGGGUCAGCAGAAAAGUCACUAGAAAAUGGGGAGAAAGAUAUGUGUACAGAGAAGGAGGUAAAAUAUGAAAGGGGCGCCUUAUUACCUACCAAAGUCCCCAGAACAAGUCCAGAUAAUAUACCAGAGAGUGAAUUAAGGAGUAAGAUUCAUGGACUUCAUGACAGCUUUUUUGUGUGGGGUCUGUGGACUUCCUUCCAGAAGGCAGAAGGUUAUGGGUAGGCUGCCAAGGCAAAUUCAGUGUACCUAGACUAGUCUGUGUGCCUUAGAACAUAAUCAAUUCUCAAUGAUCUGAUUCUUAACAGUGAGUAAUAGAGCAGAAAUGAAAAGUGCUUUGCUGACCUAAAUUUCCCCUUACUUGCCCUUUCCACCAUUUUCACAUCCAGCCUGCCAUUCAUACCAAAGCACUUAGCCAUUUCUCCGUUCCAGGAGUUGUGAAGCUGAAAGACAGGAAGGCAGCUCAGUCGGAAGAUCGGCUAUUUACCUUCAGCAUGUGAGAGGGGUGGGAAGAACUCUGGCCUCGGAACAAGAUGGUGAGGCCAAACAACUUCGCUGAGUUAGUCUUUGCAAGGAACAAACAUGAAGACAGAACAAUAAUCAUUUCCAAGUUCAAGAUACUACAAGGAAAGGAAAGUGCAAAGGAAAACUGCAUUGAUUAAACAGAUUUUCUAAAAACAAUUUUGGGAAAAUUCGUUAUUAAAGACAGAGAACUGUCUUCAACUUCCUUCCAUUUAUAACGAAUCCUUUGUUUAACAGAGUCUACAACUGGGGUGGGCCCUGACCAGUAAGUAGAUCAAAAUGCACUAGGCUUCUCCAUGCCCAGAGCUGGUCAGGAGGCAAUGCAGGCCAGGAGUGCAAGGCCUGUAGGACUGAACACAGCUCUUACUGCUGCAUUGUCAACUUCAAGUCUUUGCUCAGAAGAGGCUGGGUGGGGUCUCUGCUCCAAAGUCAACCUUCACCAUUUUUAACAUGAUUUUUAAAAAAAAUCCACCAAGUCAAGGUUUUAA